GACGAACCGUGCGAACGAUAUUCGGAAUCACUGGGCUUAAAGCGCGUGUAGGCGGGCCGGCACGUCCGACGCUGAAAUCCCCCGGCUCAACCGGGGAACGGGCUCGGAUACGACCGGCCUCGAGGGACGUAGGGGGACCUGGAACUUCCGGUGGAGCGGUGAAAUGCGUUGAGAUCGGAAGGAACGCCCGUGGCGAAAGCGAGGUCCUGGACGUUUUCUGACGCUGAGACGCGAAAGCCAGGGGAGCGAACGGG
rnacentral:rRNA from 1 species